AUUGAACGCUGGCGGCAGGCUUAACACAUGCAAGUCGAGCGGAGUGAUGGUGCUUGCACUAUCACUUAGCGGCGGACGGGUGAGUAAUGCUCAGGAAUCUGACUAUUAGUGGGGGACAACAUCUCGAAAGGGAUGCUAAUACCGCAUGCGUCCUACGGGAGAAAGCAGGGGAUCACUUGUGACCUUGCGCUAAUAGAUGAGCCUAAGUCGGAUUAGCUAGUUCGUGGGGUAAAGGCCUACCAAGGCGACGAUCUGUAGCGGGUCUGAGAGGAUGAUCCGCCACACUGGGACUGAGACACGGCACAGACUCCUACGGGAGGCAGCAGUGGGGAAUAUUGGACAAUGGGGGGAACCCUGAUCCAGCCAUGCCGCGUGUGUGAAGAAGGCCUUAUGGUUGUAAAGCACUUUAAGCGAGGAGGAGGCUCUUUUGGUUAAUACCCAAGAUGAGUGGACGUUACUCGCAGAAUAAGCACCGGCUAACUCUGUGCCAGCCGCCGCCGUAA
rnacentral:rRNA from 1 species